AUGCCAACCGUUGUGCUCUGCGCUGGCUGACAAGACCCGAUCACUUGUUUGUGGGCAUAAUGAUGGGUGUCAGGCUGGUUGUUGGGCAGUUUCCUAUUUGUUUAUUGUAAAGAAGGUAAAUCAAUCUGUGGGAUUUUCUGGAUUGGAGAGCAAGAGGUGUUUACUGUCAACAGGAUAAGGACGAGGAGAUAUAACAUACUGAGUUCCACGGUGCAUCUAGUGUCGGGACAGGAGCAUAAAAGAUGACAGAUGGAUUUUCACAAUUUGGAAAUAAAAACAUGAGUGAAGUGUUCGGAAGGCAAGUCUCUGGUCCAUUACACACUUCCAGAAAAACUUAGUACCCAGAGACUCACAUUACUGGGAGUGCUAUCUACUCACAAGUGUUGCACUCCAUUGAGAAAAAAAAAACCAGGAAGUUGCUGUUCUACUCAGGCCUGACCAAGAAGCCAUGAAAUCCCUUACUGUGGGAGACUUAGAAGAUUGCCUACUGAAUAAGGUGGACUUCAGGAGCCAGCAGAUUUCCCAGGCUAUGGAGGAGGUACAGAAAGUCGUUCAUCAUUUGACCACAAACAUCAGCAACCAAGACAUUAGAUUCCAAGCUGUGCCUUACUCUGACAUGUACAAUGAAAAUAUUAAGGUUUUGGCCCCCAGUCAGUUCCUCAUCACAGUCCCAAUAAAAGGCCUGGCCGGGUACAGGGAGGCCAGGGAGCAGCGCUGGCGGUACUACACCCUGCAGGGCACCAGGCUGCCCUGCCCGUUGCGGGACCCUGAGGGUCUGCAGCAGUGGCUGGAGGUGGAACAGUUUAUGAAGAGCCUGUGGCAGUGGCACGAGACAGAUGUGACCAUCGACGGAGACAUUGUGCCCGCGAAGGUCCUCCUAGUGUUCCGGAAGCUGGUGGAAAAUGCAAUUAGAACCUGUCACCUCUCAGGUAAGGUCAGCAUGCUAGGAAACCGCUCUGCAGUUUGGGUUGCUGUGGAAACAGCCGCAUAUCAGGUGGAACUGGAGCUGGUCCCCGCAGUGGAGAUCCCCACCACCUGGUCCAAGAAAGCCCGGUGGCCUCGAUGUCUGCAGCGCUGGCCUUCCCAAGAGACAGUGGAGUGCAUCAAGUCGUUUGGGUUUAACUUGUUGGCCUGUUCAAAUUAUCACUGGCAGCUGAGCUUCCUCCGUGCUGAGCAGGUGUUACUGGAACAGCUGGAUGAAGAUGGGGGCUGCCGUAGGAAGUGUUUUCAGGCCAUGAGGCAGCUGAAGGAGGACGUCUGGUGCCCAGGGAACAGGCCAGUCAUCACGUCCCACCAUCUGCAGACUGUGCUCUUUUGGACCUGUGAGAAAUAUCCCCACUUUAAAGACUGGCAGGUCUUCAGCAAAGCGUUUCUGCGCCUGGUGAGGAAACUGCACAAGUGCGUGAGCCAGCACUUCCUGAAACACUAUUUCGUCCGGAACAGCAACCUUUUUCAGUGCACCAACCCGAUUGAACUGGACACUGUGGCCCAAAAGCUGGCCACCUUCCUGAAGAACCCCCAGAUCGGCCCGCCCUGAUGGUUGCCCCGGCCUGGGAGGCUCUUGGACAUUUUAUUCUGGCUUAACCUUGUUCUUUGGAUGGUUCCUCAGUCAGAUGCCAGGAUCCUGCCUAGGAGAAAGGCCACGAAUGGCAGUGGAAAUUACAUCAAACCAGUAACACUUCAGCAGGGGGAAAACUGUGCCCCAGGAUGUCUGGCCCAGGCCUCCCUGGAGCCCAGCAAGCAUUUCCGCCCUAGCUACCUCUCCUGGAGACAGCUCUCAUCAGGCUUCCCCAGGCACAGAUUUGGAACUGGUGACAGUUCUGAACUUAGUUUCCCUUGUUCAGGCUCUGAUCGUCUCACAGUGAAGAUGGAGACAGAACCCCUGGAAGUCUGGACAUGAGCCUGCUGGCCAAUACUGUGCCCAGCCCACUGAUCAUGGGCACAUUCUCUUGCCAUUUGUAAAAUGGGAAUGUUAACGUGCCUACCUCUGAGCAGGGCUGUGUGCCUAUGAAACUGUGCUGGCACCUUUUCAAGGGGAAGGCAUUGGAUCAACACAAAGUGUUCCUGGUUGAUUGAGUAGCUGGUGUUUGCAUCCUGGAUCGGUACCCACAGCACUGACGCAAAAUUGCACCUGAUGAGUUAGCGAGCCUGUGCUUCCUUGCUGCCCUCCAGCUUCCUUAGCAUGUGGGUCAGUGGCUCCUGAUGUUCUGUCUGCUUCCCUGUCAUUCUCUAAGCAGGGAGGGGAGUGGUUUUGAUGAUAAGUGUAAGUCAAAGAUGAAAGUACAGCUCUUGGCCUGAUCCCAACCAUAGCCCUCUCUUUGCUUCCCAUGCCAUGGGCCAUGGAUGGAACUUCCUUAUGUAUUUAUGUAAAUAACCUAGUACUAUGAUCUACAUGGAGUGACCUUAGGUGUCUGUCACCGCUCAGUGUGUUCCUUUGCUCACUUCAUUCACUCACUCACUCAUUGACAAAUAAUACUCAUUAGGCACUGGGAACACAGCAAAGAGCAAAGUGGAUGAGGACCUCCCUCUGGGGAUGCCACCUAAUGGUGGAGACAAGAAAUGAACGACAGAUAAACACGCACAGUUACUACAGACGGAAGCAAGUGCUCCAAAGGAAAUAAACAGAAUGUUGAAGUAGAGUCCACAGAAAGGUCCCCGAAGGAUGAAAAUGCAAAUAGCUGAAAGGGAAGGAAAAGUGACCAAAGGCAGGCAUGGUGGGGCUGGCAUGAGUCAGAGCACCUGGCCUUGUAAAGCCAGGAAGGAAUCAGUAUUUUAUUCUAAGAUCAAAGGUGUGACAUUUGGCUUCUCCAGAAGCAGAGGAGUAUCACGAUCUGACUGCAUUUUAAACAAUUGUUCUGGUAACUGCAUGAAGAAGGUCUGGGGACUCACACAGGAGCUGGGCACUGAGCGCUCUUGGGCCACCCAUUUGGAAUUUCACAGAGGCCCACAAGGCAACAUAUUCUGUGUGGCACAACUGAUCAGGAAUUCUAGGAGUUCUCGGCCCAAGACUAGGUGUGUAGAGGAAUGAUUGGUUUUCAGCCACCGCAGUUGACCUGCCUGUGUCUGCAUCCCAGUUCUGAUGCCGAGGAGCUGCAUGACCCUGGCAAGCUUUUUGACCUUUCUGUGUCUCUAGUUCCUUCUCUCCAAAAUGGGCAUUGUGAUGGCCAGAAUUGUGUCCACCACAAUUCAUAAGUUCAAGCUCCAAUCCCCAGCACCUCAGAAUGUGACUGUAUUUAAAGAGGUGAUUAAGUUAAUAAUAAAGAGGUGGUUAGCUGAUUCAGUCUGACGGGUGUCCUUAAAGGAGAGGAGAUUAAGCACACAGAGAGAUGCCAGGGAUGUGCACGCGCAGAGGGCAGCCACCCACAGACCAAGGAGAAAGGCCUCAAGAGAAGCCAACCUGUCCACACCUGCUCUUGGACCACCAGCCUCCAGAACUGGGAGAAAAUACAUUUCUGUUAUUUAAAUCACCUAGUCUGUGGUAUUUUGUUAUUUUCCUAUGGCCCUAGGAAACUGUUACAGGCAUCAUAAAAGACUAUAUACCUCAUAGUGUUAAUGAGAGCAACGAAUGGAAUGAUGGAUGUAAAAGGCUCUUAGUUGAGUACCUGGCAUGGGAUAACUGCUGAACAAAUGUUUUCAUUUUAGAUGCCUACCCCUCGUGCUAUUUGCCCAUCUCUACCAUUCCUAAUAACUAUACCAGACCACAGAUAAAUUCUUUGUAAAUUUCUUUAUAUUGUAAAGAAAAUAUAAACCAUCACAGGGGAAACAUGAGAAAAUUUCACUGCAAAUUCUGUAAGUCCAUUCUCCCCUUUGUCCCUCUUGCUAAAAUAUAGAAGGUAUCUCCCUGAAAGGCCAAUUUCUCCACGUGUGACAGCUCAGAUGCCUCCCAGCUCUUCAGUCUUUCCAUUUAUUUCCUGUAGUUUCCUCCACAUCCUCCCGCAAUGGCCGCUUCACUCUCUUCUCCCCUUUACUGCCCAGCUUCCUGAGUUACUAUACGUGUGUUUCCACC